rnacentral:rRNA from 1 species
GGGGAAUCUUGCGCAAUGGGCGAAAGCCUGACGCAGCAACGCCGCGUGCGGGAAGAAGGCCUUCGGGUUGUAAACCGCUUUCAGCAGGGACGAAGGCGAGCGGGUUAAUAGCCCGUCAGUUGACUGUACCUGCAGACGAAGGUCCGGCUAACUACGUGCCAGCAGCCGCGGUAAUACGUAGGGACCGAGCGUUGUCCGGAAUCAUUGGGCGUAAAGAGCGUGUAGGCGGCUAUUUAAGUCCUGCGUGAAAUCCUGCGGCUCAACCGCAGACGGUCGUGGGAAACUGGAUGGCUAGAGUGCGGGAGAGGAGAGUGGAAUUCCCGGUGUAGCGGUGAAAUGCGCAGAUAUCGGGAAGAACACCCGUGGCGAAGGCGGCUCUCUGGAACGCAACUGACGCUGAGACGCGAAAGCGUGGGGAGCAAAC